ACCUGUCUAUACUCUGGGGUAACCUUACACUCAUGGUUUCUCAGUGUCUUCACGGUUCCAGAAUCUUGUGGCUUUGGUCUUGAUUGGAAUUGAAUCCCUUGCAAUUUUUAAGAAAGAUGAGAGGAGGACCUCCUAACUUGCAGAUUGAAUCCUUUUUCUUCCAGCUCUCAGGACCCGGGCAACUGAAGCUCCAUUCUACUUCUACCAAUUAACAUGGUCUCCUUCCUCAGCCCCCUUUCCCCUCCCCCUUCUUGAAAGAGGAAAAACUAUGACCUCUUGGAAACCAAAAUCCCAACCACAAAUCUCUUCAAGGUUAGCACUAUGCGCUAAAAAAAUGAAUCACAAAAAGAACGUGCCUUCAAAAUAUCAGUCUUAACUGUAAAACACAGAUAAAAACCAUCCUUUUAAUCCAGUUUUCCCAGCUGUCCUUCUGUUGGCAAUGGAGCCUCAAGCUCCAAACGGGGUGGGGUGGGGGAAUAAUUCUCUGGUCUUCAAUGCUUAAAAUGACAAGAGCAGGUAAUAUGUUCGAGAAAGCGAAUCAGAAAAAAAAAAUUGAAUAAAUCCGAAAUGGCACUUGGAAAAAAAUCUUCCAGCUGAUCCGCACGGUAAAAAAAAUAAAUAAAUAAAACCAUACAAUAGUAUGUACACAACAGCACUCCUCCCAGGUUCAGUGCAACCUCGGGAAACAAAAUCUGUGGAUUUUUUAAAAAAAAAAGCUUUUACAUUAAAGAGUUAAAGGUUUUGAAAUUCUGAAAUGAGCCAUUCACACCAAAAAAAAAAAAAAAAAAAAUCACAGAACACCUGAAAUGCAGUGGUUUUUUUACCUUUAAAAUGAGAGCAUUCGCCAAAACCAGAGAGAAGCUCUGAAAAUAUUCCCUGCUUUUUCCUUCAAACUCGCAGGUUUCCCACACCUACCCCAGCCUGGUUCUGAGCCCCAGACCUCGUUCGGCCUUUCUCCGACAGCCAAUUUCCUGAGUUAGUUCUGCCGUUUCUCUCCUCCACAUCCAGGCUCCGAAAGCCUCCCUCGCCUCAGCCUCCAUGAACCGGGGUCCGCUCCCCUCGCUGGGCGCCUGGCCCGCACGGCGGCGCCGCUGCUCUCGGUGGGGACGACGCGCGCGGCUCCGCCAAGCCUGGUGGCGCCGGCUCAGGUGGGCUUCUUCUCGCCGCUCCGGCCCGGCCGCCCGGCCCCGCGCCCUCGGCCUCCGCGGCCCGGACGCAGCGCGGCUGCUGGAGGCGGGUCCGCCGGCGUCGCGGCCGCGCUCCCGCUUCCGGGCCCCUUCCCCCCGUCGCUGGCUGGCGCUGGCGCAGGCUCGGCCGGCCGCCCCCUCCCCGCUGCUCCGCGCCCGCCGCCGUCCGCUCCCUCCCCGCUGGCGGGCGGGGCCGCGCUCCUCCCCGGCUCCGCCCUCGCUCCGCCUCCCGCCUCGGCCGCCCCGCCCCUCCGCCCUCCGCGGCCGAGCGGCCUAGCUGGUCCGGCGCGCGGGUCUCCCCGCGAGGCCCGACCUUUGUUCCCGACCUGCCCGGCCGCGCCGUCCCGGGCGGCGGUGUUUGCUUAGGGUCUCCCGCACCACCUGGAUUGCCCGGAGAGCGAUGUAUGAGCUUGCAAAUUUACACACAGACACACACACACAGGACUCUGCAGAUGAAUCCUUUCCCUCCGCCUACAUCCUGUGUGGUAGUAGUGGGGAUCGAACUUGGGUCCUUGUGCUUGAGCAGCAGCAGCAGCACCAGAAAAAGAAGAAGAAGAGGAGGAGGAGGAGGAGGAGCAAGAAGAAGAAGAGGAGGAGAAGAAGAAGAGGAAGAAGAAAGAAGAGGAGGAGGAAGCAGAAGAAGCAACUUUUCAAUUGUGGGCAGAAAUCCCAAGACCAAACUGGUUGUUUCUUCUAGAAAGAUGACUCUUUAAGUUAUUAUCAUUCUCCUUCCAGGGUGCUGUUCAGGGACAGGCCUGGCAAAAUAAAACUGCUACUGGAGAGAUUGUGCCUCUGUUUACUAGGGGUCAUUUUGGUUUGGUGGGGGUUUUUUGGCACUGGAGAUGGGACUUGGGACCCUGUGCUCGCGAGGCAGGCAGCGGAACCACUGAGCUAAAUCCCUGGCCCUGGUUGUUUUGUUUUUGAAACAGAGUCUGGCUGAGUUAUCCAGGCUAGCUUGGAGCUCUCUACACUCCUUUCUCAGCCUCCUGAGUAGCUGGGGUUACUGGCACAUAACACUAUACCUGGC
ensembl:lncRNA